rnacentral:rRNA from 1 species
UAGGGAAUCUUCGGCAAUGGGGGGAACCCUGACCGAGCAACGCCGCGUGAGUGAAGAAGGUUUUCGGAUCGUAAAGCUCUGUUGUUAAGUAAGAACGAGUGUGAGAAUGGAAAGUUCAUACUGUGACGGUACUUAACCAGAAAGGGACGGCUAACUACGUGCCAGCAGCCGCGGUAAUACGUAGGUCCCGAGCGUUGUCCGGAUUUAUUGGGCGUAAAGCGAGCGCAGGCGGUUAGAUAAGUCUGAAGUUAAAGGCAGUGGCUCAACCAUUGUAGGCUUUGGAAACUGUUUAACUUGAGUGCAGAAGGGGAGAGUGGAAUUCCAUGUGUAGCGGUGAAAUGCGUAGAUAUAUGGAGGAACACCGGUGGCGAAAGCGGCUCUCUGGUCUGUAACUGACGCUGAGGCUCGAAAGCGUGGGGAGCGAACAGG